UGUUGGGAGCCGCGCCCACAUUCGCCGUUACAAGAUGGCGCUGACAGCUGUGUUCUAAGUGGUAAACAAAUAAUCUGCGCAUAUGCCGAGGGUGGUACUCCACUCCAUGUGCUCUGCCUUCCCCGUGACGUCAACUCGGCCGAUGGGCUGCAGCCAAUCAGGGAGUGACACGUCCUAGGCGAAAUAUAACUCUCCUAAAAAAGGGACGGGGUUCGUUUUCUCUCUCUCUUGCUUCUUGCACUCUGGCUCCUGAAGAUGUAAGCAAUAAAGUUUUGCCGCAGAAGAUUCUGGUCUGUGGUGUUCUUCCUGGCCGGGCGUGAGAACGCGUCUAAUAACAAUUGGUGCCGAAUUCCGGGACGAGAAAAAACUCGGGACUGGCGCAAGGAAGAUCCCUCAUUCCAGAACCAGAACUGCGGGUCGCGGUAAUAAAGGUUCCCGUAAAGCAGACUGUUAAGAAGGAUUCAACUGUAUGAAUUCAGAACUUUUCAGCUGGGGAACGAGAGUACCAGUGAGUACAGCUUUACGAGGUAAGUCUGAUCUUGAACUUUCUAAGGAAAUUCAAGACAGUCUAUCAGAAGUAAAGUGGAAUAUGUUUGGCCUUGAAUUUUUUCUGGUGUUAGGAGCCCUUUUGUUCCUUUUCACAUGUUAUCAAGUGAUUAAGAUAGGGCUGAAAAUUCUAGAGGAAAUUCAGGACAAGCUAUCAGAAGUAAAGCGGGGAGAGAGAGUAGGAACAAAGAGGAAAUAUGGUACACAAAAUAAGUAUACAGGCCUUUCCAAGGGUCUUGAACCCGAGGAAAAGUUAAGGUUAGGUAGGAAUACCUGGAGAGAGAUUAGAAGAAAAAGAGG
rnacentral:lncRNA from 1 species